rnacentral:tRNA from 1 species
AAGAGAGAAGUAUUAUUGGUUAUACAACUGGCUUGAAACCAGUAGUUGGAGGUUCAAGUCCUUCCUCUUUUG